CUCUGUGGGAUCAGUGGCGAACGGGUGAGUAACACGUGAGCAACCUGCCCCUGACUCUGGGAUAAGCGCUGGAAACGGCGUCUAAUACUGGAUAUGUGACGUGACCGCAUGGUCUGCGUUUGGAAAGAUUUUUCGGUUGGGGAUGGGCUCGCGGCCUAUCAGCUUGUUGGUGAGGUAAUGGCUCACCAAGGCGUCGACGGGUAGCCGGCCUGAGAGGGUGACCGGCCACACUGGGACUGAGACACGGCCCAGACUCCUACGGGAGGCAGCAGUGGGGAAUAUUGCACAAUGGGCGCAAGCCUGAUGCAGCAACGCCGCGUGAGGGAUGACGGCCUUCGGGUUGUAAACCUCUUUUAGCAGGGAAGAAGCGAAAGUGACGGUACCUGCAGAAAAAGCGCCGGCUAACUACGUGCCAGCAGCCGCGGUAAUACGUAGGGCGCAAGCGUUAUCCGGAAUUAUUGGGCGUAAAGAGCUCGUAGGCGGUUUGUCGCGUCUGCUGUGAAAUCCGGAGGCUCAACCUCCGGCCUGCAGUGGGUACGGGCAGACUAGAGUGCGGUAGGGGAGAUUGGAAUUCCUGGUGUAGCGGUGGAAUGCGCAGAUAUCAGGAGGAACACCGAUGGCGAAGGCAGAUCUCUGGGCCGUAACUGAC
rnacentral:rRNA from 1 species